GGACGUUUAGCUGAGACAGAUCAGCGUCGGCCUGAAGAGCCGAAGAGCCUGGCGCGAUACCAGGAGCGUCCACCA
rnacentral:tRNA from 1 species